rnacentral:misc_RNA from 1 species
GAUGAAGAACGUAGCGAAAUGCGAUAAGUAAUGUGAAUUGCAGAAUUCAGUGAAUCAUCGAAUCUUUGAACGCACAUUGCGCCCGCCAGUAUUCUGGCGGGCAUGCCUGUUCGAGCGUCAUUUCAACCAUCAAGCCCCCGGCUUGUGUUGGGGACCUGCGGCUGCCGCAGGCCCUGAAAACCAGUGGCGGGCUCGCUAGUCACUCCGAGCGUAGUAGUUACAUCUCGCUCAGGGCGUGCUGCGGGUUCCGGCCGUUAAAAGCCUUAUUUACCCAAGGUUGACCUCGGAUCAGGUAGGAAGACCCGCUGAACUUAAGCAUAUCAAUAAGCGGAGG